ACCACCAUCCCCUUUCCCAUUUGCAGCUGCUGUUUUGCACGUCGGUGCUUUUUUAUUCUGCUAAUGGUUUAUCGGAACUACCUUUUCCUCACCUGGGACCUGUUUCACAGCGACUCGCUGUAAAGCGGACGGAUAAAGAGCAGGUACAUUUAUUUGGGAGCUGCAAUAUGAAAAGGGUUUUGUGAUCACUUCUAGCAAUAUCUGCUUCCAAUGAGCCCACAAUAGCACAUGGAGUAUAGACUGAUAACUCUCAUCCGUGCACUCCUCUCUGGUCAUAAAAGGAUAGCUGAUCUCCCCCAGAUUUGAGAUUCUGAAACUGCGAAGGUG